UUAGCCAGAACUUCUGUUCUACAAUAUGUGGACAGAAAAUGGUUAGACAAGAAUCGGUUUCCAAUACCCAAAGUGCCAAUUUAAUUUUUUUUUUCUUAUAUAUCUGCAAUAUGCAGAUUGAAAGAAGAAGGAAAAGAAAGUUUAAAAAAAAAGAAAGAAAAAUAGGGAAAAAAAAAGGAGAGAUUGAGUGGUCCUAAGAACCAAAAGUAUCUAACAAAUACAUAUCAAAUUAAAUGAACCUAUAUGAACAUUUGGUCUGGAAUAGAACUUAGCCAUUCUAUCCAACUUCAGCAGCAGCAGCAAGCAACUUGUUUACAACAAUGUGUAGGAAACUUCACAAUGCUCAGCUUUUGUGGAAGUAGAAGAAUAUAUAACAAAUAAAUAAAGUUUUAACUAAAUUUCAGCUAGAAUAUUAUGACAGGAGAAUUUGCAGUUAUAACCUAAGGUUAAAAUGUGAUAUUUUCAACAUAUCGUUGUGUGUUUGUGUGUGUGAACACAUAUAUUUCAGGGAACCAUCCUUCACACACACACAUAUAUAUAUGUAUACAUAUGUAUAUAUAUAUAUAUAUAUAUAUAUAUAUAUAUAUAG